UUAGGAGGAGGAUAACAGCUGGAAACGGUUGCUAAUACUCCAUAUGCCGAGAGGUGAAAGAAUUUAUUUGCCUAAGGAGGAGCUCGCGUCUGAUUAGCUAGUUGGUAGGGUAAUGGCCUACCAAGGCGACGAUCAGUAGCUGGUUUGAGAGGAUGAUCAGCCACACUGGGACUGAGACACGGCCCAGACUCCUACGGGAGGCAGCAGUAGGGAAUUUUCCGCAAUGGGCGAAAGCCUGACGGAGCAAUACCGCGUGAGGGAUGACGGCCUGUGGGUUGUAAACCUCUUUUCUCAAGGAAGAAGUUCUGACGGUACUUGAGGAAUAAGCAUCGGCUAACUCUGUGCCAGCAGCCGCGGUAAUACAGAGGAUGCAAGCGUUAUCCGGAAUCACUGGGCAUAAAGCGUCUGUAGGUGGUUUGGUAAGUCUGCUGUUAAAGACUGGGGCUCAACCCCAGAAAAGCAGUGGAAACUGCCAGACUUGAGUGUGGUAGAGGUAGAGGGAAUUCCUAGUGUAGCGGUGAAAUGCGUAGAUAUUAGGAAGAACACCAAUGGCGAAGGCACUCUACUGGACCAUAACUGACACUGAGAGACGACAGCUAGGGGAGCAAAUGGGAUUAGAUACCCCAGUAGUCCUAGCCGUAAACGAUGGAUACUAGAUGUUGCACGUAUUAACCCGUGCAGUAUCGUAGCUAAGGCGUUAAGUAUCCCGCCUGGGAAGUACGCUCGCA
rnacentral:rRNA from 1 species